AAAAAACCAGAGACUUAGACCUGGUGGUUUACUCACAGACUCACAGCCAGUCACGUUCAAGCUGGGAGACCGCCCGGGUCCACCUCCCUCCCAAGCUGUGCUCCUUCCAUUACACCCUCAUCCAGAUGUGUGUGUGUGUGUGUGUGUGUGUGUGUGUGCUUUCCCAGAAGUCCUCAGAAAAUUGUUUACUGGCCUCUCUUCUCGCCCCCCCCUUACUCCCCCACUCCCCCCGUCUGUCUCUUCUCUCCCCGCUCUGGAUGAUGUAACGUAAUGGGUUGUCUUUGUGUAUGACAUGUCCCCUCCCACCCCAGGCCUCCGAGGAUCGGAAAGGCUGGCACUGGUCUCUCUGCCUCUUCGGGACACCUAGCAUCCAGCCCUGUCUCAGGAAGAGGGAGGCGGUUUUGUAACUCUUCCCCAGCACAGCAGCCGUCUUGGUACCCAUCUUGGAUUCUAGGUGGAAAUAUGAAAUGUUUUUAAAAAGGUAACGUGGAGGAAGCAGGAAGGUCAAGGGACCUGUGUGUCUAGGUUUGACUUGGCCUUUUACAGACUGUAUGACCUCGAGCACCAGCACUUCAGUUUCCUUCCCUGUAUGAGGGGGGUCCUGUCAGGCUCGCAUGAGCUGGAUUGAAGACGUGCUGCGCAUGUACAUGCUUGGUACACUGGAAAGGGUCCAGUCUUCCACGAACAUCAACCGGGGGAAUCAGGGGUGUUUGGACUUGCUUCCCCCUAGCAUUCUGACAAUGACAGCAGGAGAACAGCAUCCUCUCCUCACCCCUGUCAAAGAUAAGAUCUAGUUGGAAGGACAAUUCUUUUUUUUUUUUUUUCUUUUUAGGGCCACACCCACAUGGAAGUUCCUAGGCUAGGGGUUGAAUUGGAGCUGCAGCUGGCAGCCUGCACCACAGCCACAGCAAUGCGGGAUCCGAGCUACAUCUGCGACCUACACCGCAGCUCAUGGCAACACCAGAUCCUUAACCCACUGAGCGAGGCAAGGGAUGGAAUCUUCAUCCUCAUAGAUACUACUCAGACUCGCUACUAGUGUUGGAUGGAUGAGUCUUGACGAUAAGCCUUAUUAUGGCAGAAUGAACUAUCUGGGGGAUAGUUCAUCAGGGGGAUAUUGGGAAUUAAAGACAAAUCUAAUUAGAGUCAUUCCAGAUGCUGAGAGUGCACUUAUCAACGGAUGUGGUGACUCUUCUCCUGUGAGCCAUGCUCGGGAAUGAGCAUGCUUUCUUAGAUGAAUUCAUGCUGGGGUUCUUGUUUUAUAAGGGGCAGGGUCAAAGUCAAGCGAAGAGGAGAACUAGGACUUCCCAGGAUGAGACCAGGCUGUGUUGGUUCUGGGGAAAAAAAUGAGUGCUCCCCAUGCCUGCAGACAUGCUUGCUUCUUGGCCAAUGAGGACCCCGGCCAUCCUUUGGUGGGAGUUUGGAGUCCCAGAGCCCAUCAUUGCUCUCCUGAACUACCCACUGCUGCCAGGAGCAGAGUCUUCAUGAUCAUCUGGGUAAAUUCAAGGCCAUAACUUAGAGAACUUUCUGCGGGGAGGUAAAGAGUAGGGAGUCUGAUUUAGGGAACUUGAAAGACGGGACUUGAAGAAAAGGUGGGAAAUUGAAGAGACAAAGAGGUCUGGAGGGGAAGGGGGCAGAACCCUGUCCCUAGGCCAGCAGCUGUUGAACUUUCUCUUUGUUGAUGCCUAGCGGUCAAGUCCACUUUCCACCAAUGCUGGAUUGCUCUUAAAGAGCUACCCGAGGGAGAGGAACAAAUAAGCUUUGCAU
ensembl:lncRNA